GGGAGCGCGAUCGUGCGGCAACCGGCCGCCAUAUUACUGUACCGAAAACAGUCGCCGCAGCGAUCAUGGCAACUUCUUGCAAUUACGGUCGUACCAACCGUACCGGCAAUGAUACCGGGCCGAAAUUUCUACAGCAGUGUGGUCCCUCAAUACAGGUUUCCUCACGGGGGCUACCCGGAGGAUCGUCUGUGUCAUCGAGCAUCACCUGUGUCAUCGUCUGAUGCGAUCGAGCUUACAGAUAAGUAUCAUGUUCCUCAUUCACGGGUUCCUACUGUACGAGGAGGAACCACCCCAGUGCACGCACUGUGGUGAUCCUCUCUCAAUUUUGUACAUUCUCUUUACAUGUUCACAUCAUGGAACACAUCACUUCAAAGAGCUUUAUAUACACCUUAGACCCCUUCACCCAGCAUUGUGUCUUAGUGAUGAAGCUAUAAUUUCUUUUACAACAGCGUUUAAACGUUGAAAUUUUUAAAAGAUAUCAAGAUUGUAAACCCUGUUUUAAACUGAUGUUUUAAACAUUUAUGCGAUGCUUUUACUAAACAACAUAUUUAUUUUUAACUAGUUGCAACCUAACAAAUGUUCUCUCCUUCACAGCUGCCUCGACAUACGCAAGAAAUGGGUGCAAAACCUGAGCAGUGCCCACAAACUUCGAUCACCGCAGCACCUCCAAAAAGUAAAAGCAUAUGUGUCACAUGAGAUUUUUAAAGGUAUUCAUAGCAGUGAUGGCCAGUAGUUAACUACAUGUAGUUAAACUACCUGAUUGUAGUUAAAAAGUAGUUAUCAACUACUUGCAGAAAUGUAGUGUGCAACUACUAGUUAAACUACCAUUUCGAGUAGUUGGCUACAGUAGUUAGGUUACUGCAGGCGCCAACUACUUCCGAUUUUGCCGCAAGCUUUACGGCAUGGCAGUGCUUCCGAUUUUUACCUUGAGCUACUUGUUUGAUGAGAACGGAGGUGCAGAGCAAUUGUGCCGUGCAUGUGUACUAAAUUUUCACUUUUAUCACUGCUUGUGAUUCAUAUUUAGGGGUCUUAGAACGCUAUAGAAUGGGAUUGGUGUUGAUGGACAACAUUAAGUAGUUAUAGAUGUAGUUAAACUACACUGCAGUAGUUAAAGAAGUAGUUUUAACUACCCUGCCUGAAAAGUAGUUGAACUACUAGUUAAACUACUCCAUUGCAAAGUAGUUAGUAGUUAUAGUAGAAGUACUUAGUGGCCAUCACUGAUUCAUAGUAUAUAAUACCUUGUAUUAACUGUUGUAGAUCUAACCCACCUCUACAGUGUACACCCUCAGGAAUUAAAACUCGUUGCGGAA